rnacentral:lncRNA from 1 species
AUGUGCUCAGAAAACUUAGAGUCAUUAGGAAGCUGGAGACAUUACUAUGAAGGUGUGGGCACGUGAAGAAAUGAGAACAGAGAUGGGACAGGGAUCAGAUCCUGAAAACCAUCAUACCUGGUGAGGAGUUUGUGUUGAGGAUGUAACUGAGAAGGAGCUGCAGAAAUGUUGGCCACUACCAGUGACAUCCACGGUCAUCACAGCUCCGUUGAUGACAGAACAGAACUCCCAAGCAGUGUCUUCUGGGAAACAGGAACAUAAUGAGUAUAUUACCUUUUUAUUAAGUUGGAAUAUCUGAAACAGAAAAGUUAUUUGUCACAAAUGUCCAAAGCACAUAGGAGUCACUCACCUGUCUGCCGUGGUGUGGAUGUGCCAGCAUGAAUUUACAGUCAGCUGAGUGACAGGAGAAGGACCAUUUUAUAAUCUCAUAGCUUUGAAUGGGGUGUGAUAUGGUUUGGCUCUGUGUCCCCACCAAAUCGCAUGUUGAACUGUAAUUCCCAAUGUUGCGAGAGGGAGCUGGUGGGAGAUGAUUAGAUCAUGGGUGGAUUUCCCUUUUGCUGUUCUUGUGAUAGUGAGUUUUCAUGAGAUCUGGUUGUUUGAAAGUGUGUAGCACUUCUCCCUUCACUCACUCUCCCGCCUACUGCCAUGUGAAGACGUGCUUGCUUCCCCUUCAUCCUUCCACCAUGAUUGUAAGCUUCCUGAGGCCUCCCCAGUCACACCUCUUGUACAACCUGUGGAACUGUGAGUCAAUUAAACCUCAUUUCUUUUGGUUUUUGUUGUUGUUGUUGUUUUGAGAUGGAGGCUCACUCUGUCGCCAGGCUAGAGAGCUGUGGCGCAAUCUCAGCUCACUGCAACAUCCAACUCCCCGGUUUAAGGGAUUCUCCUGCCUCAGCCUCCCCAGUAGCUGGGAUUACAGGCAUGCGCCACCACAUCCAGCUAAUUUUUAUAUUUUCAGUAGAGAUGGGGUUUCACCAUGUUGGCCAGGAUGGUCUCGAUCUUCUGACCUCCUGAUCCGCCUGCCCUGACUUCCCAAAGUGCUGGGAUUGUGUCUGGAGUUGGUUCCUUCUGGUGGGUUCGUGGUCUCGCUGACUUCAAGAACGGGGCCGCGGACCUCCGCGGUGAGUGUUACAGCUCUUAAAGGCGGCACGGACCCAAAGAGUGAGCAAGAUUUAUUGUGAAGAGCGAAAGAACAAAGCGUCCACAGCUUAGACGAGGACCCAAGCCAGGGGCUGCUGCUGGUUGGGGUGGCCAGCUUUUAUUCCCUUAUUUGUCCCCGCCCAUGUCCUGCUGGUUGGUCCACUUUACAGAGUGCUGAUUGGUCCAUUUUACAGAGUGCUGAUUGGUCCAUUUUACAAACCUCUAGCUAGCCACGGAGUGCCGAUUGGUGUGUCUUUACAGAGCACUGAUUGGUGCAUUUUACAAUCCUCUUGUAAGACAGAAAAGCUCUCCAAGUCCGACCCAGAAGUCCAGCUGGCUUCACCUCUCAGGAUUACAGGCAUGAGCCACCACGCCAGGCCAAACCUCUUUUCUUUAUAAAUUAUCCAGUCUCAGGUAGUUAUUUAUAGCAAUGUGAGAAUGAACUAAUACAGGGUGAAAUCCAGCUCAAAGCUGAGCUGAUAUUCUUACACUGCUCAAACACCAAUGAGACUAUGAUGAAAAUGAUAGUGAUUAACUCAAAUAGAUGCUUUAGUAAUCAAUAAACAUCCACUCUGCAGGAAGGCCCAUCCAUCGCCCCCUGAGCUAGAGACACUGUCCCCUUUGGAUCCAGACAUAAGUAUGUAUUAGGACAAAGCUAUCAAACUCAUCUUUUCUUUUUUUGAGACGAAGUCUUGCUCUUGUCCCCAGGCUGGAGUGCAAUGGCGCAAUGUCGGCUCACUGCAACCUCUGCCUCCUGGGCUCAAGCGACUCUCCUGCCUCAGCCUUCCAAGUAGCUGGGACUAGAGGCGCCUUCCACCACGCCCGGCUAAUUUUUGUAUUUUUAGUAGAGACGGGGUCUCACCGUGUUAACCAGGACGUUCUCGAACUCCUGACCUCCUGAUCCACCCACCUCGGCCUCCCAAAGUGCUGGGAUUACAGAUGUGAGCCACCGCGCCUGGCCUGUCAAAUUCAUCUUAAAGCGCUUUUCCUUGCUGCUAUAGACAGUUUAGAAGAAACGGAAACUCAGAAGCUUGCACUUGAGCAGCUGCUAAGAGAAAUUGUAUAAAAAUGAGAUUUUGCCCUUAAAUGCAUUUGUAUGGGGCAUUUUCAGGUCAAUUUCUGAAUACUAAAAAGAUCUAAUCACUACAUUGUGAAUAAGAUACAGUUAUUUAAAAAUCCCUGGAGCAGUCAAAGACUCAGACUGAUGGUUAACCUUUCCUGAGAGUCAAGAAAAUUAACCAACCAAGUUUAAUUUAAUUUAGGGUUUUUCUUACUGACUUAAUAUUUAUUUCUAGGCCACAAAGCCUCCCUCUCUGUGUAAAAUCGGGCAAAAAUUAAUCACUUCUCCCACCGGACAGGUUAUUUGCAUUCUUUUCAACAUUAUUUUAAAAUAGGAAAUACAUAGCGCCUGGCACAAAAUGUGAAAGAUACAAAAGAACAUACAGAAAAUAGCACAUCAGACUGGGCACUGUGGCUCACGCUUGUAAUCCCAGCACUUUGGGAGGCCAAGACAGGCGGAUCACUCAAGGUCAGGAGUUCAAGACCAGCCUGGCCAACAUGGCUAAACCCUGUCUCUACUAAAAAUACAAAAAUUAGUUGGGUGUGGUAGUGCGCAUGCCUGUAAUCCCAGCUACUAGGGAGGCUGAGGCAGGAGAAUCACUUGAACCUGUAAUCCCAGCUACUCAGGUGGCUGAAGCAGGAGUAUCAGUUGAACCCAAGAGGCAGAGGCAAGACUAAAAAAAAAAAAAAAAGAUGCCAAGCGAGGUGGCUCAUGCCG